rnacentral:rRNA from 1 species
GACGAACGCUGGCGGCGUGCUUAACACAUGCAAGUCGAACGGUAAACCUCUUCGUAGGUGGGCAGUGCCAAUCGGGAAAGUGACACUUACACGAGCUUACCCCGCCCCUGGGUUAAGUCCAAGAACUUGAGACUAAUACCAAAUGUUCACAGCUUCUCCCGUGGCUUGUGGUGGAAUGGAUUUCUUGCGCGGCUGGGGAUGGGCUCGCGGCUUAUCAGCUUGUUGGUGGGGUAGUGGCCUACCAAGGCGUUGACGGGUAGCCGGCCUGAGAGGGUGACCGGCCACACUGGGACUGAGAUACGGCCCAGACUCCUACGGGAGGCAGCAGUGGGGAAUAUUGCGCAAUGGGCGGAAGCCUGACGCAGCGACGCCGCGUGGGGGAUGACGGCCUUCGGGUUGUAAACCGCUUUCGGCAGUGACGAAGCGCAAGUGACGGUACCGGGAGAAGAAGCACCGGCCAACUACGUG